AUACGUAGGAUGCAAGCGUUGUUCGGAAUUACUGGGCGUAAAGAGUACGUAGGCGGCAAUGAUAGUCUGAUAUUAAAGACUGGGGCUUAACCUCAGGAGUGUAUCGGAAACUUCAUAGCUAGAGGACAGUAGAGGAAGUUGGAAUUCCCAGUGUAGCGGUGAAAUGCGUAGAUAUUGGGAGGAACACCAGUGGCGAAAGCGAACUUCUGGGCUGUUACUGACGCUGAGGUACGAAAGUGUGGGGAGC
rnacentral:rRNA from 1 species